rnacentral:rRNA from 1 species
UACGUAGGGCGCAAGCGUUGUCCGGAAUUAUUGGGCGUAAAGAGCUCGUAGGUGGCUUGUCACGUCGGGUGUGAAAGCUCGGGGCUUAACUCCAGGUCUGCAUUCGAUACGGGCUGGCUAGAGGUAGGUAGGGGAGAACGGAAUUCCUGGUGUAGCGGUGAAAUGCGCAGAUAUCAGGAGGAACACCGGUGGCGAAGGCGGUUCUCUGGGCCUUACCUGACGCUGAGGAGCGAAAGCGUGGGGAGCGAACAGG